AUGUGCAAUUACUAACUCCGCCUCGUUCGUGAUAGUGAACUGCUCUGCACAUUAUUAUUACAACAUUCUUUCUGCAGCCUGCCAUAUCGUAGAAGGAAGAGGAGGGUAACCUUCCUCCCUGGUUGACUUUGCAUAAAUGUUCUAUUGCAGCUUGAAAGAAUCUCAGGGAAGUUAUUAUAUUCUAAUCUAUGAUAGUUAUUCUACUCACGUUAAAGCAUAUAGUUUACACUUUAUAGUGUAAAUGGCAAGGUUUAUUGAUAAGGGACUUUUUCCAUGGCUACCCAUGAUAUAUUCACAUGUGUUAGUUAGACUUACAGGUUAUGUCGUUGUUUUUUGUUUGAAUUGUUUACGUGUUCGCUGUGCGGGGGAAAUGAUAAGACAAGCGGAACUACGUAGCUAAUAACUGUUGUACCGGGGAUCCUUAUUGUAGCAACACACUUUUGGAGGGAAGGCAAUCCCAUUAGCUAAGUUUUCAUGUCAUCGGGUGUAUUGCGUAAAGGUUGAAGCAUGUAUGUUAGGAUGGUAAAGUUAGAAUAAUUAAGAAUGAAGUGUGAAUUCAUGCCAGGAAUAAUAAGUGUGAAGUUUGAUUUCCUCCCUUCUGUAAUAAGCAGCCAAUGACGUAUUUUUUCUUUAUUCAUGUGUUUAAUCUGAUACUGUUAUAGCGCCGGCUAAACUGUUUAUGUAUGUAAGCACUUCAGAGUUAUACCAAGCUAAUAAGUCACUCGUAAAAUAAGGAGGUUGUAAGAGUGUACUUAACUGUAUUUUCAUUUGCUUUAUAGUUCUCAAGGAAGGUGAUAAUUCUGACUAAAUCUACAGAAUAAAGCCGCCAGUUAAAAUCAAGGAACGCUUGUUCUUGUGGUUACUGGAGGGAACUACAACAUGAUCGUUUUAUAUUUGUUUGUUCAAAUGUCAUCUGUGUACUGUUCGUUCAAUCAAUUUCCGAAUAUAUACAACCAAGACGGAUAAUCAUUUCGACUGCAUUAAUUCAUUUUUUUUUAUGUUGUCCACAAGACUGAACAGAGAUGGUGUGGGCAUAGAGAGGAGGGGCUGCAACAUGAUUACGUCGCUAGCUGUUUUCAAAGUAAAAGCUGUGUUACUGAUAUUACCUGAACAUAUCCAGCUAGUUAGCUUUCGCAGGUUAGUUAUAAAUUAAAGUCACCAAUAAGUAACGUUAGUUAGUUAGCUGCCUUCAAUUAUUGGUGGCUUUACAGACAAGACAGGGAGAUUAUAUUAUAAGCCACCAAGCAUUGAGCUAAAACUAGCUAGCUAUCAUACCAAACAGGUGAGUGUGCGUGCGUAUGUAUGCAUGUAUGUAUGUCUGUCUAUGGUAGGUUACAAGGAUCGUUCAAGACUAUCCAGCCCCAGCUAACACGGCUUGACAUACCGAGUUUUGACCAUGACCCUUUCUCUGCCAUCAGGUGAGUAUUAGUUAAUGAUCAACAAUUUUCUACUCUGUAUGGUGUAUGUAGGUGGUAAUUCCCUCCACCUAAUAAUGGCAGAGAUUUAAGGAAGUAAAAUGGAUCGUUCAAUCAUUCUCAAUGGUAGUUCGUGAGUAUAUCUGUAGAGAAAUAGGUGGGCAUACUGCAUAUGGCCACUACUACACCACUGCAUGAGAUUGAAGCUGGUUUGGUUGAAGGUGACACUACACAUGUACAGGCAGGCACUGCCAUUCCUUGCCUUGCAUGGUAUGGCUUCGUAUAUACUAGAGUAGGUAUUCCCAAACAGGGGUGCCCAAAUAAAAAAUAUACUUUUUUUGUGUGACUUUUUUGCUUCACGUUUUCAAACAGUCCCUUUAUAUUUUCUAACAGGGUUAUACAUUUGGGUGAUGUUUUUUUCUCGCCUGAGUAGCCUCGUUUCACUGCCCAUAAUAAAAGUAAACCAUCUUUUUAUUUUUUUUAUUUUUAUUUCACCUUUAUUUAACCAGGUAGGCUAGUUGAGAACAAGUUCUCAUUUACAACUGCAACCUGGCCAAGAUAAAGAAAGCAAAGCAGUGCGACACAAACAACAACACAGAGUUACACAUGGAAUAAACAAGCAUACAGUCAACAACACAAUAUAAAAAAAUAGUCUAUAUACGGUGUGUGCAAAUGGCGUGAGGAGGUAAGGCAAUAGUAGGCCAUAGUAGUUGUGUAAUUACAAUUUAGCAAAUUAACACUGGAGUGAUAGAUGUGCAGAUGAUGAUGUGAAAGUAGAAAUACUGGUGGGCAAAGAGCAGAAAAGUAAAUAAAAACAAUAUGGUGGUGAGGUAGGUAGAUUGGAUGGGCUAUUUACAGAUGGCCUAUGUACAGCUGCAGCGAUGGGUUAGUUGCUCAGAUAGCUGAUGUUUAAAGUUAGUGAGGGAAAUAUAAGUCUCCAGCUUCAGCUAUUUUUGCAAUUCGUUCCAGUCAUUGGCAGCAGAGAACUGGAAGGAAAGGCAGCCAAAGGAGGUGUUGGCUUUGGGGAUGACCAGUGAGAAAUACCUGCUGGUGUUCAGUGAAAUAACACAAUGUCAAAUACAGGUAGCCUAGUCAAAUAAUUAACAUCCAAUCACAUUAACCAUUACUCUCGCAGGAAUUCCACUAACGGUCCAAAUGUAGCCAACAUAGCUGCUGCUCAUGUUGGUAUUUGAACUAAUGGCGCAAAAGCUUUUACAUGGAGACAUAGUGGAGUGGUAACGCAUGUGCAAGCAGGUGCUCCCGAUGCCACUUGGGUACAUUGCUUCAUCCACCGAGAGGCUCUUGCUGCCAAGGGAAUGUCUGCUAGCUUGAAAGACGUUUUGGACACUACAGUGAAAAUAGUUCACUUUGUUAAAGCAAGGCCCCUGAACUCUUGUGUAUUUUCUGCACUAUGCAAUGAUAUGGGCAGCGACCGAGUAAUGCUUUUACAAUGUACAGAAAGGAGUGUGCUGGUUAUCAAGGGACAAAUUAUUGAUGGUUUUUUUGAGAGAUGAGCUGAAAGUUUUCUGUACUGACCAUAAUUUUCACUUGUCUGACUGCUUGUGAGAAACUCGUCAUCACGCACGACUGGCCUAUCUGGGUGAUUUAUUUUUUCUCGCCUGAAUGAUCUGAAUCUAGGAUUACAGGGACUCUCCGCAACUAUAUUCAAUGUAGGGACAAAAUUGAGGCUAUGAUUAAGAAGUUGGUGCUCUUCUCUGUCUGCAUUAAUAAGAACACACAGGUCUUUCCAUCAUUGUAUGAUUUUUUUGUGUGCAAAUGAACUCAAGCUUACGGACAAUGUCAAAUGUGAUAUAGCGAAGCAUCUGAGGUGGAUGCGCAGUUAUGCAGGAACUUUCCCAAAACGGAUGACACAAACAACUGGAUUCGUUAUCCCUUUCAUGCUCUGCCUCCAGUCCACUUAAUGAUAUCUGAACAAGAGAGCCCCAUCGAAAUUGCAACAAGCUGUUCAGUGAAAAUUUAAUUCAAUCAGGAGCAACUGACAGAUUUCUGGAUUGGGCUGCGCUCAGAGUAUCCUGCCUUGGCAAAUCGUGCUGUGAAGACACUGAUGCCCUUUGCAACCACGUACCUAUGUAAGAGGGGAUUUUCGGCCCUCACUAGCAUGAAAACUAAAUACAGGCACAGACUGUGGGAAAUUAUUUAAGACUGAGACUCUCUCCAAUACAACACAACAUUGCAAAGUUAUCUGCAUCCUUUCAAGCACACCCUUCUCAUUAAUCUGUAGGUAGUUAUUCACAAUUUUUGAUGAACAAAUAAGGUUUUAUAUGUAAGAUGGCUAAAUAAAGAGCAAAAUUAUUGAUUAUUAUUUGUGCCCUGGUCCUAUAAGAGCUCUUUGUCACUUCCCACGAGCUGGGUUGUGACACAAACUCACACUCAUUCUUAUGUUUAAUACAUGUAUUGUAUAGUGUGUGUGGCAGGCUUACAAUGAUGGCAAAAAACAUAAUUUGAGAGUGUGCUGACCCUGGUGCUAGAGGGGGUAUGCAGCUGGAGGUUGAAUGUUUGAAGGGGUAUGGGACUAUAAAAAGUUUGGGAACCACUGUACUAGAGCACUCAAACUCAACUCUGAACCUCAAAGCCAGUUCCACUACCCUUUUUCUUUCUUCCCCUCUAAUCAGGGACUGAUUUAGAGCUGGGACACCAGGUGGGUGCAAUUCAUUCUGGUAGAACAGAAAUCCAAUAGGCUCUGGACCUCAUAGGGCAGAGUUACCCAAACUCAGUGCACAUUUUGUUUUUGCCCUAACACUACAAAGCUGAUAAACAACUAAUCAUCAAGCUUUGAUAAUUUGAAUCGGCUGUGUGCUGUUGGCAUGGUGCAGGAGCAGGGUCAAUAGGGUCAAAGUAGUGGACUGGGGUAGUGGGUUUUUAGAGUGUAGGUGGCAGCUGCAGAGAAGUACCUGGGUGUAAAAUAUUUUACUGCAGAAGACUUAUAAGAUGUUUUAGAGAUUUUGGAUGAAGUAGUGGUAUAUAGGUGUAGGGUAGGCUGGUGGUGCAAUAAAAUAAAAAAAUCCCACCCCCCCUUUUUAUUUUUGUAUCUCAAAUGUACUGCAAUUGAACAAACACUACCGCACUGUAGGUGGUGGCAUGCACAGACAAAAUGUGUGAACGCCAUGAUACCGAAGAAGAAUUCUCAGCUGUGUAGUGUUAGGGAACAAAACAAAACGUCCAUCCCUUGGUGUCCCAAGUACUGAGUUUGGAAAACGCUGCUGGAGAGUAAGAGUUGAUUACCCCUAUACUAGAGUAUAAUGACAUAUUUUUAGACGGGGACUGUGUGUAAUGUGCGAUUUAACUAAAUUCACUCUGUAUUUAACUGUGUAGAAUCUUCGUUCUCCAUAGAGAUGUUGGAUGCAGAAUUAUACUCCUAUCCUGCACAUGUUCAGGAGAGAAGAACAUCCAUAGACAAGGAGCUGCUGCAGCAGAUAGACAACUUCCUACAGGUAACGAGCACACACAUGGUAAUCAUUUCUGCAUAGAAAGGUUUAAAGUCUGCACUGAGAAUCUUAGGGGGUUUCUUUGUGUGUGCAUGUGUCUGUGUGGUGAGUUAAGGUGGAAGUGUUUCCUGAUGUGCUCUGUUAGAGGGUAUGUAUCUGAAGGCUCUAACCUGUAUGUGUGUGUAGGAACUGAGGAGGCAGACUGUUGUACCCUCUGUCCUCUCUGAAGGGGUUAGUGUGUGAAGGCUCUAGCCUGCUGCUUCUGUUGCUGCUCCCUCUGAGGAAGAACGUCUCGAAGAACAUGACCUUCCUCUCACCAGGACACACACAUCUCAAGUCAGUUGUUUUAGUCACUGCCCUACUCAUAUUUUUUGUGCAAGGUAAGUGUUUUACACUGUUCUAUGUGUUCUCAGUUUUGAUUUAAUUCCUAGACACUUCCACCCAACUGUGUGAUGAGUCUGGUGGGCCAAUGCGUCAAACUGUGGUCAUGGGGAGCUGGGUGUAGAUGGUGGAGGUGUUUGGGGUAGCCAGGUCAGUGGAGGACAUCCCAGCCACUUGGCAGUGUCGGCACUGCUACUUCCCACAUGACAGGUAAGUGGACAUCUACUUAUACAAUCAGUCAAUCAAAAGUCUAUAUUUGACCUUUUUUUUUUUUACUUCAGCAGUUGUCACAAAGUGUUUUUACAGUAACCUGGCCUGCACAAGGGGAACCUGGGACACACUGCUCCUGCCAUUUUUCUCCCCGUGUGAUGACAUAUCCUGUUUAGGCACCUGGCCAAGUCCAGGAGGAGUUGAAGGCGGAGCAUGCCUCAAACCUGCGACGCACCCGGUGAUCUACGGUAUGAUGGCUGACUUACUUACUUCAAAAACCGAGCGACGCCUUCAUGUUCACCCACGAAGACGUAUCUCCCUUCGCCUCCCGCCAACCCCCAAGGGGCACCUUCAACAGCUCCUCACCUUGACGACACACACUGGCUGAAUCUCAAUAGUCGAGUUAGUAGCUUCCUCUGUCACUUUAGUGAGGACAAUACUGUUCUGGUUUCACUAGUAUGUACAGAGGCCCUCGAUCAUCAAAUAUGAACGCUUUUAUGGAGGUUUUGUCUUAUUUUGUGACACUGUUUUUACUGUCUUGUUUGUAUUGGCUGCAUUAAAACUAAUUUCUAUCAACUGUGUUGAUAUGGCGAUUGCAACAAUUGUCAGUUGGUGUGACUAAAAUACAAUUUCAUGUCUUGUAUAUUUUCCAUGCUUUUCUUUUAUUCAUUAUUUCAUUAACAGCUACUUUGCUUUGGCUCUUAUCACUCUACAAAUUUGUAUGAAUAAAAUUAUAAAUGAAAGUAA